rnacentral:rRNA from 1 species
UACGGAAGGGGCUAGCGUUGUUCGGAAUUAUUGGGCGUAAAGCGCGCGCAGGCGGUUAUGUAAGCCUGAUGUUAAAGCCCGGGGCUCAACCUCGGUUCGCAUUGGAAACUGUGUAACUUGAGUGCAGAAGAGGAAAGUGGUAUUCCACGUGUAGCGGUGAAAUGCGUAGAUAUGUGGAGGAACACCAGUGGCGAAGGCGACUUUCUGGUCUGUAACUGACGCUGAGGUGCGAAAGCGUGGGGAGCAAACAGG